rnacentral:rRNA from 1 species
AACGAACGCUGGCGGCAUGCCUAACACAUGCAAGUCGAACGAACCCUUCGGGGUUAGUGGCGCACGGGUGCGUAACGCGUGGGAAUCUGCCCUUUGCUUCGGAAUAACUCAGGGAAACUUGUGCUAAUACCGGAUGAUGUCUUCGGACCAAAGAUUUAUCGGCAAGGGAUGAGCCCGCGUAGGAUUAGGUAGUUGGUGGGGUAAAGGCCUACCAAGCCGACGAUCCUUAGCUGGUCUGAGAGGAUGAUCAGCCACACUGGGACUGAGACACGGCCCAGACUCCUACGGGAGGCAGCAGUGGGGAAUAUUGGACAAUGGGCGCAAGCCUGAUCCAGCAAUGCCGCGUGAGUGAUGAAGGCCCUCGGGUCGUAAAGCUCUUUUACCAGGGAUGAUAAUGACAGUACCUUGAGAAUAAGCUCCGGCUAACUCCGUG